rnacentral:ncRNA from 2 species
GGUAAAGAAAUUCGAUCCCUACAUAUAUGCUGGAGAAUAUGGCUCCAGUGUUUCUACCCGGUACCGUAAACACCGGACUAUGCAGGGAAAGCAACUUUUG